rnacentral:rRNA from 1 species
GGGGGGUGCAAGCGUUGUUCGGAAUUAUUGGGCGUAAAGAGCGUGUAGGCGGUUUGUUAAGUCUGUUGUGAAAGCCCUGGGCUCAACCCAGGAAGUGCACUGGAUACUGGCAGACUUGAAUACGGGAGAGGGUAGUGGAAUUCCUAGUGUAGGAGUGAAAUCCGUAGAUAUUAGGAGGAACACCGGUCGCGAAGGCGGCUACCUGGACCGAUAUUGACGCUGAGACGCGAAAGCGUGGGUAGCAAACAGGAUUAGAUACCCUGGUAGUCCACGCCGUAAACGAUGAGAACUAGGUGUUGCGGGUAUUGACCCCUGCAGUGCCGCAGCUAACGCAUUAAGUUCUCCGCCUGGGAAGUACGGUCGCAAGACUA